rnacentral:rRNA from 1 species
CAGCAGCCGCGGUAAUACGGAGGGUGCAAGCGUUAUUCGGAAUUACUGGGCGUAAAGCGCACGCAGGCGGUCUGUCAAGUCAGAUGUGAAAUCCCCGGGCUUAACCUGGGAACUGCAUUUGAAACUGGCAGGCUAGAGUCUUGUAGAGGGGGGUAGAAUUCCAGGUGUAGCGGUGAAAUGCGUAGAGAUCUGGAGGAAUACCGGUGGCGAAGGCGGCCCCCUGGACAAAGACUGACGCUCAGGUGCGAAAGCGUGGGGAGCAAACAGGAUUAGAUACCCCAGUAGUCCCGUCUCUUAUACA